GAUGAGCGCUGGCGGCGUGCCUAAUACAUGCAAGUCGAGCGAACGGACGAGAAGCUUGCUUCUCUGAUGUUAGCGGCGGACGGGUGAGUAACACGUGGAUAACCUACCUAUAAGACUGGGAUAACUUCGGGAAACCGGAGCUAGUACCGGAUAAUAUUUUGAACCGCAUGGUUCAAAAGUGAAAGACGGUCUUGCUGUCACUUAUAGAUGGAUCCGCGCUGCAUUAGCUAGUUGGUAAGGUAACGGCUUACCAAGGCAACGAUGCAUAGCCGACCUGAGAGGGUGAUCGGCCACACUGGAACUGAGACACGGUCCAGACUCCUACGGGAGGCAGCAGUAGGGAAUCUUCCGCAAUGGGCGAAAGCCUGACGGAGCAACGCCGCGUGAGUGAUGAAGGUCUUCGGAUCGUAAAACUCUGUUAUUAGGGAAGAACAUAUGUGUAAGUAACUGUGCACAUCUUGACGGUACCUAAUCAGAAAGCCACGGCUAACUACGUG
rnacentral:rRNA from 1 species